AAACAUUCCAUUCUUCGUGAUAACAUACAAUCACCCAGAUAAAAUUAUCAUUCAUGCUUGCAUACAAGCUAUCUUAUUAAAAAUAAUUUCUCUAAACAUUCAUAUAUUAAAACAUACUUAUGAAAGAAAUAAUUUGAAACAUACUUGAAAAUUUUAAAAAUUUUAGCAAUUUGCCUUACCCUCUUUAAAAAGAAGCAAUGUUCUUAUUGCAAGAACAAAGUAAUGAACAAAAACUGAACACCAGGAAGGGUUGUAAAGAAAGAGAGGUGAGUCAAUAAGAGUACUUAAAUACCAAGUCUUUCCUCAUAACCCGAUUCUAGACAUGUUCAUUCCCA
rnacentral:lncRNA from 1 species